CACACAGCCGGCCAGCCCCGGGUCACUCGCUAUACCUUUCAGCCACAAAAUCCUCGGCUUGUGACGGUGCCCCAACCCAACGGCUACCUCAGCAGAGGCUGAGGGCUCCCUGGGGAUUUCUGGUUAGUUUAUAAUCAAUUAAAGAGCAGAAGCGAAGGCAGAAAUCAGUCAGAGCGGCCGAGGGCGGGCUGCACCUGUGGCAUAUGGAGGUUCCCAGGCUAGGGGUCCAAUUGGAGCUAUAGCUGCCCACCACAGCCACAGCAAUGCAGGUUCUGAGCCGUGUCUGCGACCUACACCACAGCUCAUGGCAACGCCGGAUCCUUAACCCACUGAGCAAGGCCAGGAAUGGAACCUGCAGCCUCAUGGUUCCAAGUCAGAGUUGUUUCCUCUGCACUACAAGGGGAACACCCCAUCAGACCUCUUCUAAUGAGGACCACCUGUGGCACUCGUGUGUUAAGGGUUGAAUCAGAGCUGCGGCUGCCACACCGAUGCGGGAUCUGAACUGCACCUGCAACCUACACCACAGCUCACAUCCUUUGCCCACUGAGCAAUACUAAUCAGGCUUGUAACCUGCUGAGCUACAAUGGGAACUCCCACAUUAUAAUUUUUCAAUGUGUUAUUUUGACUUUAUAAAUGGACAGAUUUAUGCAUGGAAAUCUGUCUUUUCAAAUGACCGGGUCAAGUUGAUUGG
rnacentral:lncRNA from 1 species